rnacentral:tRNA from 1 species
AUUUGUAUAAUUUAAAUUAGAAUCUUGCGUUGAAGCUGCAAAAGUGGGUUUCCCUACAAAUA